AUGCUGAACACUUGUGCUGAGAAGUUGCAUUUCCUGUUGCAUAGACAUAUUGACAAAUACACACGAGAGCUGGUUUCCCAACUGAGACAGAACAAUCUAAACCUGAGCAAGGUUUAUACUAUAAUCGCAAUAUUUUUGGGUAGAGUUGAGAAUGUGCCGUUCACCAAGCGAUGUUUAAGUACUCUGUGUGGAAAGCUCAGCAGAGAGCAGGCUGCUGAUGAUGUGCGAAAGACGAUGGCUAUUUUUUCAGAAAUGAAAGCACAAGAUAGCGAGUUCACGUACAAUGUUCAGGUAGAUGACGAGAGUAGGAUACGGAUCCUUAUGUGGAUGAAUGGGCGUAGCAAAACACAGUACCAUCACUUUGGUGAUGUUGUCACCUUUGACACGACAUACAAAACAAACCAGUAUGAUAUGCCUUUUGGUCUAUUUGUGGGGGUGAAUAAUCAUUUUCAUAGUGUGCUUUAUGUGGGGGUUUUGAUGCAAGAUGAGACUGAGCAUACAUUCAAAUGGAUUUUUGAUGAAUUCAUGAAGAUGAUGGGUGGUAAAAAACCAAUUACAAUUUUAAUAGAUCAAGCUAGAGCCAUGGAAAAGGCGAUCGAGGAGGUGUAUCCCGACUCCACGCAUCGCUAG
rnacentral:rRNA from 1 species